rnacentral:lncRNA from 1 species
AGUGAUAUACUACAAUACAAUGUGACAUAUUGUAAUAUUGGAUAUACUGUGAUACAAAGCAAUACAAUGUAACACCAGUACAAUGUAUACACUGUCAUACCACCAUACACAGUGACACAAUACAUUAUACUGUGUUAUACUAUAAUAUGAUAUAAUACAAUGUGAUACAUCAUGAUAUAAUGUACUGAUACAUCAUAUGAAGAAUAGUACUAUAAAACUAGGGUCUGUUGGAUUAGGACACUUAACAGAGACUGAAUUAGUCUAAGGGAAUAACUGCUUUUUUUGAGAUGCUACAUUAUAGCUAUGAUAUAAAAGAUGAACAGAAGCUAUAGUAGGGAGAAGAGUGGAGAAAAUGGCAUGAGCAAAAGCUCUGAGUGUAGCAUAUUCAAAAGAGUGGUAAGGCCACUACAAUGGGACAGCAGACAACCACAGAGAAAAUGAUAUGAGGUGAGUCUAGAAGCAUGAGCAAGGGGAAAUCCUCAUUCAAGUAGAUCAUGAUAAAGAAUCUUUGCAAGGAAUGAAUGGUAAACCACUAAUAGGUCUUCAUCAGGGGAAUGGCAGAACAGAUUUUCAUUUAAAAGGAUCAUUCUGGCUUUUAGGCCAUUAGAGAUCUAGUACAGCUUUUGCUUACCUUCUGUCACUCUUCACUUUCCAAAACCCCUGUACUUCAGCUGUACGAAACUUCUUAUCAGUCUAAAAUACUGCUGUUUUAUCUAAAAUUACUUUCUUAGCACCACUCUCCAGUGGUGUGUGUGUGUGUUUCUUACAGACAAGUUCUGUGCAUCUUGUAAAACCCACAUCCACCUGGAUACAUCCCCGUGAAGUCUUUCCUGGCUUUCCAAAGGAAGUCAUUCUUUAUGCUUUCACAGAACUAGGUUCACACCUAGUGUCAGCUAAAAUGUGGACACCAUUCCAGUACCUUCAACAGUACCUGAUCACCUUAAUAUAGUAUAUAUAUAUACUCCAACUAAUAAUAUUUUCUCAGUGUCCUUACCCUCUUUUUAGACAAACCAAUUUCUCAGAGGGCAAAGACCAUGUCUUACUCCUUCUGGUCAUCAGCAUCUGGCAUAGGUCCUGGCAGCCAGGUCUCAGUAAAC